GUGGAGGAUAUGCGCUUUGCUGCAAAGUCCUCCUUUACUCCACACACGCUUCUAAGCCUCGCUACUAACUACACUUUAUUCAUCCUCCGUGUCAGGAUAAACUCCACUCGUCACAUUAUUAGGCCCGCUUAGCUUGCUACUUGUUUUAGCGCGUUAGUUAGCUUAGCUUGCUAGUCAGCUUAGCGUGCUAGUUAGCUUAGCUUGUUAGCUGCUAACUAAGAGACGCGGAUUUGAUCAACACAUCGCUUAGUUAAGAUCAAGUGGAGUGUAAAGUGUUGUGAUUGUGUGAAAAUGUGUGAAAGAACGAUAGCAGAGUACAAAGAGGAACUUUCUCGGACAAAAGAAGAGAACAAAAGACUACGUCAACUACUGGACGCUGUUUUCAAGAAACCUCAAGUUGUGUUACACAGAACAGGGCACAUUCCAAUGCGCCCUCAUCUGUGCGCCCUGACGAGAGCAUCAAGGGCCACGCCCACUUGCACUCUCUCCUCUGGCUGCUCGCCCGGACACGCCCACGACCGCAGCGCACAUCCAGGGACGCGCCGAGCGUGUCUCCGCCCUGCAGCUGCCGCCAGCUGCAAUCACUUACCCGCAAUCAGCACACCUGGUACUGAUGAGGGUGAGCUGCAUAAAGGACCAGUGGACCCAAGGAUCGACGCGGGAACUUAGUUUACCCUUUGGAUACCUUACCUCUUGGUGUACCUGCCUUCCCGAGUCUCCCCUUCGACAUCUCCCGUUGUUUUUCCCCCCCCUGUGUUUUGGACUGCCUUCCGCGUUUCCCGACUCCUCGCUCGCCCCCGGACUAUGACGUCUCUCUAUGCCCCACGGACCCAUCGCAGAUCUUGGACCCCUUUUUGCCUUGCCCUCUUUGGACUUGUCUGCUCCCUCAUCCAACAGCACGGUAAUACACAACAGCUAACUACACACAUAGUCUAACACCACUCACUCUAGGGUUUUGUCACACACUCCAUUUCAUUAGUUUAGUUUAUAUUAGUAAAUGAUAAAUAAAUGAUAAAUGGGUUGUACUUGUAUAGCGCUUUUCUACCUUCAAGGUACUCAAAGCGCUUUGACACUACUUCCACAUUUACCCAUUCACACACACAUUCACACACUGAUGGAGGGAGCUGCCAUGCAAGGCGCUAACCAGCACCCAUCAGGAGCAAGGGUGAAGUGUCUUGCUCGGGACACAACGGUCAUGACGAGGUUGGUUCUAGGUGGGGAUUGAAACAGGGACCCUCGGGUCGCGCACGGCCAUUCUUCCACUGCGCCACGCCGGCAGUAUUGUUUUAUUAUUAUUAUAUAUAUAUAUAUAUAAUAAAUCUUUGGACAUACUGCCCCCUGGUGUCUGUUUGCCGUCACCUCCCCUUAGUACUACAUAAAAAUAUUUUUGUUUAUAUCCCACCCAUACCACCCCCCACGCCCC